rnacentral:lncRNA from 1 species
UGGGGGAUCCACAGGAAUCAACAAUGAUCAACACAACUCAGCCAACCCCACACCAGAGUCAGAGUCAUUGGUGAGUUGAAGCAACAUGGCGGAUCAAAGGUUCGACUACUAAAAAAAAACAGCAGCGGAGAAUAGCAAGGAGCCAAGAGGCGCAUUGUAGCUGGAGCAGAAGAUUGAAGACUUAGCAAAGGCGAGGAGUUGUAGUGUCGACAAAGGCUUCAACGAGGACGUCGAAGGAAUAAGUGGGGGAGAAUGUUACGGACAAACUUCUAAACAAGGUGUUUGAUGUAAUGCUUAUGUAUGUCCGUGUCUUUUGGCAUGUUCAUGCCUUGUACAACAUGUAAAGGGGCGGCCGAAGGCUUAAUAGUCCCAUUUUAGUUGGGUUGGUGGCCUCUUUAGGCUUGUAAAUAAAGGUUGUGUCAUAUGGACACGUGCGAGAGAUUCUCG